UUAUAAUGAGAAUUAAAGUAUUAGUAAUUUAUUUUUGUUACUAAAAAUAAACAAGGCUAAAAUUAAAUUCAGUUUGUUCCUACAUAAAUAUUUUUAGUACUAAACUGCUUUGGAAUGAUUUUUUUGGGGGGACAGCAGCAGGAUUAGGGCCAUCUUCUAGAUGCCAUCAGGUACGUGCGCUAGCGUAGUCGUUUGUUGUAGCAUUAUAUCCCUUUUCCCCCUUUUUUAAAAAUGUUUGUAAGACGCCUGAAAUUUGUAUAAGAUAGUUAUAUAAGUAGUAGAAUAAGAAUUGGUGAGAGUUGGAAAAUAGAAGACGACAGAGAAGAUGGAAGAGGAUUGCUGUGAAAUAGAAGGAAAGGAGAUAGGAGAUGUUUGAGGAAAGGAGGAGGAUUUUGUCCGCUGUAAUGGAAGUUUUUUGAAUGAAAUUUGGAACAACUGUAUUGAGAUGUUAUUGAUAUCUUGGACAUCACGUUUCAUUUAUUUGUGUAUUAUACAAGCCUAUCUAUUGGUGGAAAUGUAAAAUGGCAGCUGGUAUAACACCUUGUAUGAAUUUAUUAUUAGGAACUCCAACGAAGUUUUGACAUAAUUUAGACUGGGAAAAGGCUCACAAAUGACUAGUUUAGGCUGCAGUAGUACCAGGACCUUAAAUUGGCUUUCACAACACAGAUAUCUUUCAAAAAUGAUAUCUGUUCGAGUGAUGUACUGGGCGUUAACAGUUGCUGUUACAAAUCUGCAAAUGAGUUACUACUGUGCAUACGUUUGAGGAAUGUCAAGAAAUGUUUUGAAUGAAACGAUAG